GAGCGCCCGCAAGGGGAGCGGCGGACGGGUGAGUAACGCGUGGGAACGUACCCUUUGCUACGGAAUAGCCUCGGGAAACUGGGAGUAAUACCGUAUGUGCCCUUCGGGGGAAAGAUUUAUCGGCAAAGGAUCGGCCCGCGUUGGAUUAGGUAGUUGGUGGGGUAAUGGCCUACCAAGCCGACGAUCCAUAGCUGGUUUGAGAGGAUGAUCAGCCACACUGGGACUGAGACACGGCCCAGACUCCUACGGGAGGCAGCAGUGGGGAAUCUUAGACAAUGGGCGCAAGCCUGAUCUAGCCAUGCCGCGUGAUCGAUGAAGGCCUUAGGGUUGUAAAGAUCUUUCAGUGGGGAAGAUAAUGACUGUACCCACAGAAGAAGCCCCGGCUAACUCCGUGCCAGCAGCCGCGGUAAUACGGAGGGGGCUAGCGUUGUUCGGAAUUACUGGGCGUAAAGCGCACGUAGGCGGACAGAGAAGUCAGAGG
rnacentral:rRNA from 1 species